ensembl:lncRNA
UACAGGCUCUUUUCAGCCACUUGCCCCUCCAGCCACAUGGAAUCCUCCUGGUUCCCCAAACAGGACAAACUGUUUUCUCAGGAACUUAGAUCCUUCUGCUGUGAAUUUUUUUAGUGUGCCUAAGUGAAAUGCUGAGAACCUAGGUUGAGAGCCCCAAAUAGGGCAGUGGGAAGAAGGGAAUAGAAAGGCUGACCUGCUCCCAGGAGACUCAGAGUCGCCAAAGAGAAUGUAAUUAGGGAUCUUAACAGUGGCCUAGGCUUUAUGGGAGACAAAUUGGUUGAGGUGGCCCUCAGGGAGUGAGGAGCUCCCAGGGGACAAAAACUGCAGGAGCCAUGAGUGGAGAAGCAACUGGAGGCGGCCCCCUCUGACUCACAAACAGAGCAACAGCCUAGAGUGUUCCUAGAAGAGGCGAUUUCUUCGGCGCACGUGUACUGGGGACUACGUCUGUGUGUGCGUGUGUGUUUGUGUGAGUGAACAUCUUCUGCCCUCGUCCUGUAGGGCUGGGCGAACCAGGAAGCGCCUCGCAGAGGAAGAGAUUUAGUAGUCUCGGCCACGUUUGUCUUCAGAACCGACCUUUCCUGCUCUUUGUGCAACAAGACACACCUCUCCGAGGAAGGAGGCGGACAUCAUUACUACUGCCCUAUUAAAAACACACACACACACACACACACUCACACACACAACAACCGUGUAAUUACUCUCCGCAGGAAAGGCGCACAACAGGAUGGGCCCGAGCUGAACUCGGGAUGAGCCAUCCCUGUAAAGAUUAGGAAAAGGAACCUCCGCGCCAUGCACCCGCCUCCGGCCAGGGCCUCUCCCAGAUGGUCAGGCUGGGUUGCCAGACCACCUCCUAGGGUGAGAGGGUGGUCGCGGGCGUCUCCCAGCCACGCGGGUUCCCUGUUCCUUCUCCUACCCGCCUUCCAGCUCUCGCUGGGUCUGUCUCCCACGCCUCAGGUGUUUGCUGGGGCUGGGCCACAAGCCCUUCCCUUUUUGGCCUGCACCUGGGGUAACCUCCAGCCCCGAGCGC